AUUGAACGCUGGCGGCAGGCCUAACACAUGCAAGUCGAGCGGAUGAAGGGAGCUUGCUCCUGGAUUCAGCGGCGGACGGGUGAGUAAUGCCUAGGAAUCUGCCUGGUAGUGGGGGAUAACGUCCGGAAACGGGCGCUAAUACCGCAUACGUCCUGAGGGAGAAAGUGGGGGAUCUUCGGACCUCACGCUAUCAGAUGAGCCUAGGUCGGAUUAGCUAGUUGGUGGGGUAAAGGCCUACCAAGGCGACGAUCCGUAACUGGUCUGAGAGGAUGAUCAGUCACACGGGAACUGAGACACGGUCCAGACUCCUACGGGAGGCAGCAGUGGGGAAUAUUGGACAAUGGGGGAAAGCCUGAUCCAGCCAUGCCGCGUGUGUGAAGAAGGUCUUCGGAUUGUAAAGCACUUUAAGUUGGGAGGAAGGGCAGUAAGUUAAUACCUUGCUGUUUUGACGUUACCAACAGAAUAAGCACCGGCUAACUUCGUG
rnacentral:rRNA from 1 species